rnacentral:rRNA from 1 species
GUGGGGAAUUUUGGACAAUGGGCGCAAGCCUGAUCCAGCAAUGCCGCGUGCAGGAAGAAGGCCUUCGGGUUGUAAACUGCUUUUGUACGGAACGAAACGGUCCUGGCUAAUAUCCGGGGCUAAUGACGGUACCGUAAGAAUAAGCACCGGCUAACUACGUGCCAGCAGCCGCGGUAAUACGUAGGGUGCGAGCGUUAAUCGGAAUUACUGGGCGUAAAGCGUGCGCAGGCGGUGCUGUAAGACAGGCGUGAAAUCCCCGGGCUCAACCGGGGAAUUGCGCUUGUGACUGCAGUGCUGGAGUGCGGCAGAGGGGGAUGGAAUUCCGCGUGUAGCAGUGAAAUGCGUAGAUAUGCGGAGGAACACCGAUGGCGAAGGCAAUCCCCUGGGCCUGCACUGACGCUCAUGCACGAAAGCGUGGGGAGCAAACAGGAUUAGAUACCCCGGUAGUCC